rnacentral:rRNA from 1 species
GAGUAAUAUAUCGGAACGUACCCUGGAGUGGGGGAUAACGUAGCGAAAGUUACGCUAAUACCGCAUACGAUCUAAGGAUGAAAGUGGGGGAUCGCAAGACCUCAUGCUCCUGGAGCGGCCGAUAUCUGAUUAGCUAGUUGGUGGGGUAAAGGCCUACCAAGGCAUCGAUCAGUAGCUGGUCUGAGAGGACGACCAGCCACACUGGAACUGAGACACGGUCCAG